CCUUAGCUCAGUUGGUCAGAGCUACCGGCUCAUAACCGGUUGGUCAUAGGUUCGAGUCCUAUAGGGUCC
rnacentral:tRNA from 1 species